rnacentral:rRNA from 1 species
GGUAGAAUUCCUAGUGGCGAACGGGUGAGUAACGCGUAGGCAACCUGCCCUUCAGACGGGGACAACAUUCCGAAAGGGAUGCUAAUACCGGAUACGAAGCUUCUGCCGCAUGACGGAAGCUUGAAAGGUGCCCUCAAGCACCGCUGAAGGAUGGGCCUGCGUCCGAUUAGCUGGUUGGUGGGGUAACGGCUCACCAAGGCGACGAUCGGUAGCCGGUCUGAGAGGAUGAACGGCCACAUUGGGACUGAGACACGGCCCAGACUCCUACGGGAGGCAGCAGUGGGGAAUCUUCCGCAAUGGGCGAAAGCCUGACGGAGCAACGCCGCGUGAGUGAUGAAGUUCUUCGGAACGUAAAACUCUGUUGUUCACGACGAACGGGGGGACCAGGAAAUGGGUUCCCAGUGACGGUAGUGAACGAGGAAGCCACGGCUAACUACGUGCCAGCAGCCGCGGUAAUACGUAGGUGGCAAGCGUUGUCCGGAAUUAUUGGGCGUAAAGCGCAUGUAGGCGGUUCCUUAAGUCGGUCGUGAAAAUGCGGUGCUUAACGCCGUAUGGCGAUCGAAACUGGGGGACUUGAGUGCAGGAGAGGAAAGGGGAACUCCCAGUGUAGCGGUGAAAUGCGUAGAUAUUGGGAAGAACACCGGUGGCGAAGGCGCCUUUCUGGACUGUGUCUGACGCUGAGAUGCGAAAGCCAGGGUAGCGAACGGGAUUAGAUACCCCGG